GAUAAACGCUGGCGGCGUGCCUAACACAUGCAAGUCGAACGCCCUGGAGCAAUUCAGGGAGUGGCGGACGGGUGAGGAACACGUGGGUGAUCUGCCUUGAGGUGAGGAAUACCGGCGAGAAAUCGCCGACAAUACCGCAUAGGUUCGUAAGAACAAAGUCGCAAGACGCCUUGAGAUGAGCCUGCGUCCGAUUAGCCAGUUGGUGGGUAAUGGCCUACCAAAGCAGCGAUCGGUAGCUGGUCUGAGAGGACGAUCAGCCACACUGGGAUUGAGAACGGCCCAGACU
rnacentral:rRNA from 1 species